UGAACCAGUGGUAAGAAUGUAUCAGAAACCAAAGAUUAUGAAUAAUCUAGUUUUGUAUACCUGAGGUCUAUA
rnacentral:snoRNA from 1 species